rnacentral:piRNA from 1 species
UUCCUACUCACUCGUAUCUUGAGUAAUGA